rnacentral:rRNA from 1 species
UACGUAGGCAGCGAGCGUUGUUCGGAAUUACUGGGCGUAAAGAGUGUGUAGGCGGUGCUCUAAGUUCGGUGUGAAAUCUCCUGGCUUAACUGGGAGGGUGCGCCGGAAACUGGGGUGCUCGAGCGUGGGAGAGGAAAGCGGAAUUCCUGGUGUAGCGGUGAAAUGCGUAGAUAUCAGGAGGAACACCGGCGGCGAAGGCGGGUCUCUGGGCCAUAACUGACGCUGAGGAGCGAAAGCGUGGGGAGCGAACAGG